UCAUGUUGAAAACUAUAUUUCUCGUUAAUGUCAAAGAAAUGACAAAGUUUUCUCAAGUUUUUCUUGCAAUAUUCACAUUUUAUUCUCUCGUUCACUGUGUACAGAUGUACUAUCUGUACAAAAACUUCGAUGUAAACCUUUUAAUUAAAUACGCCCCAGCAACAACAGCUACCCUAUUUGUAAGUAAUACAAAACUGUUGUCUUCAAGUGUCAUACCAAUAAUUAAUGACUUUUUUGAGCUGAAUAUCAUGCCAAUUUUUUCUGUGGUUUCGGAAACCAAACUUCUCAGAAUAACCACAUUUAUUGAUAAGACUUUUUGGCCUCUUGAUUCGAUAAGAAAAGAGGCUCGAAUAAAGCUCGAGCGAAAAUGUCGAGCCAUAAAUAUCAGUAUAUAUUGCAUUUUGCUGCUUCUUUCCGUUGCAGUGUUUAGCAAUUUUCCGUGUUUUGGAAGGCAGGAUGACUUUUUCCUUUGCAUAAAAAUUUUUAAGGAAUACUUUGGUCAAUGGUCAUCCAUUCCUAACUACAUUUACUUCACACUAUUUCCGAUUUUUUGUUACCCUUACUUUAGAAUCGCUUUCUCGUUUGUUUACGCUAUUUUAGAGACACAGUUACAAUUCUCCCUCAUUGAAGAAUAUUUGUUUGAAGUAUAUCAGAUGGUUGACUUGAAUUGGAAGUAUUUACAAGACCCUCGAUAUCAGCAAGAAAUCGGGAAGUCGUUGCAACUUUGUAUUGAACACCACACUGCUUUGAAAAAAUUGAUCCACUCGAUUGUGAAUAUUACGCUCACUGGAAUGCCGAUUUUUCUGCUUUUUGGAAUUGGUCUUUUCGUUAGUUGCUUCGUGUUUAUCAUAAAUUUUGGAGAUACCAUGACCAUGAUUUUAAAAUUAAAAACACCAUUACUUUUGUAUGUUGCAACUAUGCUUAGCAUGACUUUACUGAUGUGCUGGAAUGGCCAACAAGUGAUUGACGUGACAAGUAGAAUUUUUUAUACUUUAGUUCGAGCUCCGUUUUACUUUUGGAAUCUUUAUAAUAUGAAAGUUCUUCUGAUGUUUAUAACAAAUUGUACCAGAAACGAGAACAUUGUUUUGGCCGGAAUUUGUUUAGAUUACACAUUGUCUGUUUCUAUCUUACGAAUUUCCGUCUUUUAUACUCUGGGUUUGUUAGAACUUCGAAAUCAUAGUUUCGAUUGAAACAAUCAACUUCUCUUAUACUACAAGAAUUAUCUUAAUUUUUGUUUGUUAUAAUCUAUCAGUUUAUCUAUGAGUGAAAAGGUUUAAGAAUGAAGAAAUCAUUCGAGUAGGUAAACAAUACUUAGCGUCGUGUAUAUUUUUUUUUCUGUGGCCAGACAUCAAGUUUAAGAGAAAAAGAUAUUGUUAAUCUGUUAAUCCUACAAAUUUAUAUGUUGGA